rnacentral:rRNA from 1 species
CGGCGCGCCUAACACAUGCAAGUCGAACGAGCGAGAGAGAGCUUGCUUUNUCAAGCGAGUGGCGAACGGGUGAGUAACGCGUGAGGAACCUGCCUCAAAGAGGGGGGACAACAGUUGGAAACGACUGCUAAUACCGCAUAAGCCCACGGCUCGGCAUCGAGCAGGAGGGAAAAAGGAGCAAUCCGCUUUGAGAUGGCCUCGCGUCCGAUUAGCUAGUUGGUGAGGUAAUGGCCCACCAAGGCGACGAUCGGUAGCCGGACUGAGAGGGUGAACGGCCACAUUGGGACUGAGACACGGCCCAAACUCCUACGGGAGGCAGCAGUGGGGAAUAUUGCACAAUGGGGGAAACCCUGAUGCAGCGACGCCGCGUGAGUGAUGAAGUAUUUCGGUAUGUAAAACUCUAUCAGCAGGGAAGAUAAUGACGGUACCUGACUAAGAAGCACCGGCUAAAUACGUG